CCCCACCUUCGUUAUCAGCGUGGAUUCAGCACGAUAGAUCUUACGUCUGAAACCCUGAUGUUGACCAGCUCCAGUGUACCAGUGGCUAACGGUUCCCAGACACCUUGUGAGUGAAGCCAUUCAAAACCGUCCAGACUCCUACGGGAGGCAGCAGUGGGGAAUAUUGCACAAUGGGCGCAAGCCUGAUGCAGCCAUGCCGCGUGUAUGAAGAAGGCCUUCGGGUUGUAAAGUACUUUCAGCGGGGAGGAAGGUGUU
rnacentral:rRNA from 1 species